rnacentral:rRNA from 1 species
GACGAACGCUGGCGGCGUGCCUAAUACAUGCAAGUUGAGCGAUGAAGCUCGGCGCUUGCGCCAUUUUGAAGUGCAGAGAACGGGUGUGUAACGCGUGGGGAAUCCGCCUUUGAUCGGGGGAACUUCUUUGGAAACGAACGCUAAUACCGCAUAACAACUUUAUACAUAAGUUUUAUGUUUGAAAGAUGCCAUUUCAUCACUCACAGAUGAUCUAGCGUUGUAUUAGCUAGUUGGUGAGGUACAGGCUCAUGAAGGCGAUGAUACAUAGCAGACCUGACAGGGUGAUCAGCCGGAUUGGGACUGAGACACGGCCCAAUCGCCUACAGGAGGCAGCAGUAGUGAAUCGUCGGCAAUGAGUGAGAGUCUUACCGAGCUGCGCCGCGUGAGUAUGGAGGGUUUUCGGAUCGUAGAUCUCGGUUGGUAGAUAAGAACGUGGGUGAGAGUGGAAAGCUCAGCAAGUGACGGUAACGAGCCAGAAAGGAACGGCUAACUACGUG